CAGGUGAUUCCAACAUGCAAACCAGGAGGAGAAUCACUGUUACUGGAGGGUUGUGGAAAGAAAUGAAUGUGUUUUUAUACUGAAGGACCUUAGGACACGUAGCAAUCACAUUACAAGGUUAAAACUGAUCUGCUGACUUUCCAAUGACCUCUAUGAAUAAGACCAGUUUAUGAUCUAAGAUCACUCUAGCUCCAACUUGAGUCUUCAUGA